UUUGCACAAACUGUUCAGAUUUUGUAAAAUGCAUAUCUCUUGAACCAUAACUCAAAAUCAAAAGUGUUGUAUAUGAAUUUUGAUCAGAAAAAUAUAAGGAACAUGAAUAUGCCAUCCAUUCAGCUGUUUGCAUCUCGCAUCAUGUCGCGCCGUGAUAGUUUAUGCAUUUCACCUCACAUAUAUGCGGAGUAUUUUGGAACACCGAUAGGGUUUCCUCGCUCUGUUUAAUAUUGAAGUAGCUCACCCUUGCCAUGCUAUGCCAUGCUAACAACCACUUAAAUUUGCCGGUAGAAAAUGCAACUCCAACUCUAAUUUGUUUGUCCGGGGUUCCGACUCCGAUUAAAUUGAAUAAGAUGCAUUGCACCAUCUAUGCCAUGUCAUGCAUAUCAUCAUGAACACGCUGGAUCUUCUUUAUCCGUAGUUGUAAGACUUGCAUACGUUGUGUGUUCUAGCAUUUGCUUCUUCCCGGAUAGGAUCGCGAAGUGGUGUUGUGAGAUACGACAAGUUCUCCGGAUGUUCCUCGGCAAGCAUUAACAGGCAAGCAUUUCCCCUAUACUUCUGCCCCUGCAGAAGUCACUCACCUAUUUUAUUUUUGCCUUCUCCCUCAUGCUAUCCUUAAGUUGCGUUCUUGUCACGUGUCCUUUCCACUUGUUACCUCAAGCAGCCCAUAUUGCCACCACCACCUCCUACGGCUAUUGUUUGGUUAUCGAGUCUGCCCUUGCGAGUCGUAGUGCAUGCUAGUGCUGUUUUAUCUCGUUACCGUUAUUGUUAUCUUAUUGGGUUAUAUGUUGGGAAGAAUCAUGGUUACUUUAGUUGUUGAUAUUUGUUUAGCGGAGGCAUCGGUGGGUCAGCUGCUUGUUUUGUGACGGCUCACUUGUGUUUCCUAAAUAACUUAGGACCCCGGGUUCUUGUUAUCUGUUCCGAGACUGAGCGCUCUAACCACACGUGGGUAUGCUUACCGGGUCUCCCCUCGACCACUGCCGGAAUCUACAGCUUUGUCCAGUGGCCACAACUAGUUUGGAUGUUUGUUUUGUUUCUCCCGGGCGUGCAAGCUUGUUUCUUUGUGGUCAGAUGAUAUGAUGUUACUAUUGGGGAAGCCAUGUUGCCUUGUAACCCCGUUGUCUCUUGCACGUCCGUAGGUGCGGCACGUAUUGUUAAGAGGUCAUCCUCUAGUGGGCUCUGAUCCUCUUAGCCGUUCUCGCAAUAGCUAGGUCCGCGUCAGAGUUCCGAUCGGGCUCUGAAACGGGUUAACUUAGUUAGGUGGCUUCCUGGACAUUGUUGUAGUGAAGGAGAGUGCGUGUCGUGAUAUCCACCUGUCGUAAGUGGGUUGAUCGUGCGUGUGGGCACAUUUGGGCACCCCUGCAGGGUUACAAUCUUAUCGAUAAGCCGUGUCCGCGGUUAUGGACGACUUGGAGCUGUAUGACUUGACCAUAGACAACUUACACCUGUUGUUUCAAUACUAAUAACUUGCGUAGUAAGAUAGAACAACUCAAAUAAUAACUGGUUAAAACUUGACAACCAUGUGAGUGCCUUUGUAAGUACCUCUUUGCGAAGGGGGAACACAUCGGCUGUGUUAUGUUUGCAGAGUAUAGAACUGUUAGUUUAUGCGCUCUCUCACCUUCUCUGAUUAGACGAAUGUUGUAGAGUGUCUCUAUAGGUUUUUAGUGCUUUCGCGCUGCCGCUUAACCCCACCAUAUUGCCUAUGACGUUCCUCUUGCGUCCUCUAAGUCCCCUGCGUGCCUCAAGUACAAAGGUCGACUGGUUGACGAAUGCUUACACGUCUUGAAGUCUUGUUAAGUACGAACCCGUACUUAUUGCUGCUUCUACGGGAUAUAACCGGGCAGGUAUGAACAUAUGUUCGAUGAAGACGACGUUAGCAAGGUUACCCUUCCGGCUUGGCCUGGGCAGGGUUAUGGACGUCACUGGUUAUCUUCAGAACUCUUAGUCCAAAUUUGUAUCUUGUCCGUACUCGGACGUAUUCGAUCUUCUAUAUGAUUUGGAUCUUUGUAUUGUAUAUUUGUAUCUUGACUCGUUGGAGUCGUUGUUGUAAUA